rnacentral:rRNA from 1 species
GACGAACGCUGGCGGCGUGCUUAACACAUGCAAGUCGUACGGUAAGGCCCUUUCGGGGGUACACGAGUGGCGAACGGGUGAGUAACACGUGAGUAACCUGCCCACAACUUUGGGAUAACGCUAGGAACCUGUUGCUAAUACUGAAUAUGUGCUCUUGUUUCAUGGUGGGGGUUGGAAAGUUCCGGCGGUUGUGGAUGGAUUCGCGGCCUAUCGGCUUGUUGGUGGGGUGGUGGCCUACCAAGGCGGCGGCGGGUAGCCGGCCUGUGAGGGUGACCGGCGACAUUGAGACUGAGAUACGGCCCAGACUCCUACGGGAGGCAGCAGUGGGGAAGAUUGCACAAUGGGCGCAAGCCUGAUGCAGCAACGCCGCGUGCGGGAUGACGGCCUUCGGGUUGUAAACCGCUUUCAGCAGGGACGAAGCUUUUUGUGACGGUACCUGCAGAAGAAGCACCGGCUAACUACGUG